AUGAAGAACGUAGCGAAAUGCGAUAAGUAAUGUGAAUUGCAGAAUUCAGUGAAUCAUCGAGUCUUUGAACGCACAUUGCGCCCCCUGGUAUUCCGGGGGGCAUGCCUGUCCGAGCGUCAUUGCUGCCCUCAAGCACGGCUUGUGUGUUGGGCCGUCGUCCCCCUCCUAGGGGACGGGCCCGAAAGGCAGCGGCGGCACCGCGUCCGGUCCUCGAGCGUAUGGGGCUUCGUCACCCGCUCCGUAGGCCCGGCCGGCGCUUGCCGACGACCAUCAAUCUCUUUCUCCAGGUUGACCUCGGAUCAGGUAGGGAUACCCGCUGAACUUAAGCAUAUCAAUAAGCGGAGGA
rnacentral:misc_RNA from 1 species